CCUUAAAAUAUAAAAUAAAGUAAACCACUAUAUCAGUUUCGACUGUGUACUCCUUUCUCAUCGAGUCUUAAUCGUACACGCCGAAAACGCACCCCGAGGCAACUAGCUGCCGUCCAGCGCGAGACAGAAAACUCCAUUGCAGUGUGAAACUUGUGUCCGUGUGGUGUGGGUAGAAGUGAGUGUCACGUGUGUUACUGAAGUUUGUGUUACAAUUAACUUCUGAAUGUGGUUAUAGGUUAAUUUGUUGUCAUCAGAAACAUCAAAAUAUGCAUUCACUUUCGAACUGAAAAUUCACAUCAUGGUUGGAUGAUUAUCACAAAGGCGCAUCACAAAAAGUUUUCAUUUCCUCGACACGGAUCAUUGAAUUAUUUUGACAUUAGUACAGCGAUGUGUAUCUGGCCAGUAGACCAAAGCAGUUAAUUAAUUUUGGUAUACAAGCUUAUAACCCGAUUGCAUUUGAAGCGAAUCUGUUCUAUAAAUAGGGUAGAUUUAAAAAAUAAUGUGACAUCUUUCCUUGUUCCUUGCGCCGAGUUUCCUUCGGCCAUCUUUAACACACUAGUUUUGUUAUUCGACGUUCAUUAUGGCGCAAGUGGAGCGGUUAUGACGUCAUGUGGUGGAAGGGCAGUUAGCGGGAUAAAUGAAAAUCUUUCUUUGUUGAGUAAUAGACAGGACAGGGAAGCUAAUAAAAGAAUUUAUAACCCCCGUGUUAUAUGUUAUGUCGAGUUUGGUUGUGUUAAACUAGUUAAAGGUUAUUACGUUGACGGAGGAACUUGCUAGGUAUAUGUGUUAUUGCAUUCUGAAAUUGUUCCAAAAAAAAUGAUUUCGAUUUGUGAGUUAUGUGCACGACGUGGGUGAAUAUGGACAAGAAUGGAAUGUAUUUCAGUCCCCCUCCUGCCACAUUGAACGGUGGGUACACCACAUCUUAUGACAGACGCUGAAUACGUGGGCGGUGUAAUGAAGACAGCUUCUGGUACUUGGACUGUGAGAGCAAGUCGCCCGGGGGACACGCGAAUGGUAGCAGCUUAACAUUACGAGAACCGCAUGAUGGAUGGGCAAAACACGAAACUCGUUUUCUGUAUUAAACAAGUUUCCAGAAGCAUUGGCGUCCUGAGUUCGCAUGAUUUAGGAAUGGGUUUCCGUACUGUUGCCAUCUGCGGAGUCUUCUGUGUAACAAGCAAAGUUGUGAUUCAUUGCAAAUCCUUGGGCACUCUGGCGGUAUUAGUUGUCAUUUCAAAAACAUUGAAUAAAGAGCGUGUU